UACGGAGGGGGCGAGCGUUAUUCGGAAUCAUUGGGCGUAAAGGGCGUGUAGGCGGCCCCGUAAGUCUUGGGUGAAAGCCCUCGGCUCAACCGAGGAAUUGCCUUGGAUACUGCGGGGCUCGAGGCUGGAAGAGGGCAGUGGAAUUCCCAGUGUAGCGGUGAAAUGCGUAGAUAUUGGGAGGAACAUCAGUGGCGAAGGCGGCUGCCUGGCCCAAUACUGACACUCAGGUGCGACAGCGUGGGGAGCAAACAGG
rnacentral:rRNA from 1 species